rnacentral:lncRNA from 1 species
CUACAACACAGAGUGGCAUUAAGUAUGAGCAGAGUUCACCGGGAACAAAAUGUUUUUUCCAGGCACAGGGAAAGCUGCUGCCAGAGCCCGGCCAGCUGCUGACCCCCUGCCAGGGAGCAUGCUGAGCACAAAAUAUUUUUAAGCAUCUUGUAAAACUCUGCUCUGAAUGAGAAAGAAAUGUUUUACUCUUGUCUGUCACUCUGCCAGAAAGCCUCUUACGGAUUGUGGCUGUCAGGCGAAGUCUUUGUGGCUGUCAGGCGAAGUCCCCGGUGAUGAUAAAAAAGGGAAACAUCACUGCCAUUUUUAACAGAGAGAAAGGAAGACCUGGGAACUACAGGCUGGUGAGCUUCACAUCUGUGCCUGGAAAGAUCAUGGAGUGGAUCCUCCUGGAAGAGAUGUUAAGGCACACUGAGAUGAAGGGGUGAUCCGAGACAGCCAGCACAGCUUCACCAAGGGCAGAGCGUGCCUGAACCAUCCGGUGGCCUUCUGUGAUGGAGUGACAGCAUUUGGUGGGCAAAGGAAGUGCAACUGAUGUCAUCUACCUGGAGUUGUGCCUUUGACACAGUCCUGCACCACAUCCUUAUCUCCAAAUUGGAGGCUGGGAGUUGGACUAGAUGAACUUCAAAGGCUUCUUCCAACUCUAAGGAUUCUAUGAUUCAAAUUGGUUGGAUGGUCGCAGCCAGAGGGCUGUUGUCAAUGGCUCCAUGUCCAGGUGGAGGCCGGUGAUGAGUGGUGUCCCCCAGGGGUCCAUCCUGGGACCGGAGCUCUUCAGCAUCUCUAUCAGUGACACAGAUGGUGGGAUGGAGUGCACCCUCAGCAGUUUGCUGAUGACACCGAGCUGAGUGGUGCAGUGGACACAACAGAAGGAAGGGACGCCAUGCAGAGGGACAUUCCAGGGGGAAUGGCUUUAAAUUACGAGAGUGGAGAUAGGGAGAUGCUGUCCUCCUCCCUCUCCUGCCAGCCCGUCCCCCUCAGCAGCACACUGCAACCCCUGACCCCUCUGCUAGGAGAAAGGAAUACUAAUUGCUUGGAGACACUCCACAGAAAGUGGACGUUAAGUGGACUAAUGCUGAACGGCAAUGGAAAUUACAGCACGGACGCCAUCAGAAUCCAUCACAACUAAUGCGAUUAGAGCUGGCAGCACAGGAAUUCGUAAUGAUCUGCACUGUGCCCUCAAGUUGUGAC